rnacentral:rRNA from 1 species
GAUGAACGCUGGCGGCGUGCCUAAUACAUGCAAGUCGAGCGAACGGACGAGAAGCUUGCUUCUCUGAUGUUAGCGGCGGACGGGUGAGUAACACGUGGAUAACCUACCUAUAAGACUGGGAUAACUUCGGGAAACCGGAGCUAAUACCGGAUAAUAUUUUGAACCGCAUGGUUCAAAAGUGAAAGACGGUCUUGCUGUCACUUAUAGAUGGAUCCGCGCUGCAUUAGCUAGUUGGUAAGGUAACGGCUUACCAAGGCAACGAUGCAUAGCCGACCUGAGAGGGUGAUCGGCCACACUGGAACUGAGACACGGUCCAGACUCCUACGGGAGGCAGCAGUAGGGAAUCUUCCGCAAUGGGCGAAAGCCUGACGGAGCAACGCCGCGUGAGUGAUGAAGGUCUUCGGAUCGUAAAACUCUGUUAUUAGGGAAGAACAUAUGUGUAAGUAACUGUGCACAUCUUGACGGUACCUAAUCAGAAAGCCACGGCUAACUACGUGCCAGCAGCCGCGGUAAUACGUAGGUGGCAAGCGUUAUCCGGAAUUAUUGGGCGUAAAGCGCGCGUAGGCGGUUUUUUAAGUCUGAUGUGAAAGCCCACGGCUCAACCGUGGAGGGUCAUUGGAAACUGGAAAACUUGAGUGCAGAAGAGGAAAGUGGAAUUCCAUGUGUAGCGGUGAAAUGCGCAAAGAUAUGGAGGAACACCAGUGGCGAAGGCGACUUUCUGGUCUGUAACUGACGCUGAUGUGCGAAAGCGUGGGGAUCAAACAGGAUUAGAUACCCUGGUAGUCCACGCCGUAAACGAUGAGUGCUAAGUGUUAGGGGGUUUCCGCCCCUUAUUGCUGCAGCUAACGCAUUAAGCACUCCGCCUGGGGAGUACGACCGCAAGGUUGAAACUCAAAGGAAUUGACGGGGACCCGCACAAGCGGUGGAGCAUGUGGUUUAAUUCAAAGCAACGCGAAGAACCUUACCAAAUCUUGACAUCCUUUGACAACUCUAGAGAUAGAGCUUUCCCCUUCGGGGGACAAAGUGACAGGUGGUGCAUGGUUGUCGUCAGCUCGUGUCGUGAGAUGUUGGGUUAAGUCCCGCAACGAGCGCAACCCUUAAGCUUAGUUGCCAUCAUUAAGUUGGGCACUCUAACUUGACUGCCCGUGACAAACCGGAGGAAGGUGGGGAUGACGUCAAAUCAUCAUGCCCCUUAUGAUUUGGGCUACACACGUGCUACAAUGGACAAUACAAAGGGCAGCGAAACCGCGAGGUCAAGCAAAUCCCAUAAAGUUGUUCUCAGUUCGGAUUGUAGUCUGCAACUCGACUACAUGAAGCUGGAAUCGCUAGUAAUCGUAGAUCAGCAUGCUACGGGUGAUACGUUCCCGGGUCU